GCUCCAGUAGCUCAGUGGUAGAGCGCGCAAGUUGGGAAGUGACAAGCUUGACAUUUGCGAGUUCAAUCCCGACUCGGGGCG